GAAAUGCGAUAAGUAAUGUGAAUUUCAGAAUUCAGUGAAUCAUCGAAUCUUUGAACGCACAUUGCGCCCGCCAGUAUUCUGGCGGGCAUGCCUGUUCGAGCGUCAUUUCAACCAUCAAGCCCCCGGCUUGUGUUGGGGACCUGCGGCUGCCCGCAGGCCCUGAAAAACAGUGGCGGGCUCGCUGUCACACCGAGCGUAGUAGCAUACAUUCUCGCUCAGGGCGUGCUGCGGGUUCCGGCCGUUAAACGACCUUCAUAACCCAAGGUUGACCUCGGAUCAGGUAGGAAGACCCGCUGAACUUAAGC
rnacentral:misc_RNA from 1 species